rnacentral:misc_RNA from 1 species
GAUAUGGAGAGCAGGAAUGCUAAGAGAAGUAUCCAGAGCAAGCGGAAGCACACUGAGAAACUUUGUUUAGUUUUGAGGGUAGUACCUCAAAAAGAGCUAGUACAUUGAAAACUGAAUAUAAUCCAAGCAAAAAACCGAGACAAUCAAAGAGAACAGAUUGUAGAGCGACCGAGAAGAGAAUUCUUGAGUAAGGUCAAGUAGAAAAGGGCGCACGGUGAAUGCCUAGGCACUAACAGCCGAAGAAGGACGUGACGAACUACGAAAAGCUUCGGGGAGCGGUAAGUACGCAGUGAUCCGGAGAUAUCCGAAUGGGGGAACCCAAUGCAGAGAUGCAUUAUUGAUUAGUGAAUAGAUAGCUAAUCAAAGGAAGACGCAGUGAACUGAAACAUCUAAGUAGCUGCAGGAAGAGAAAGAAAGAUCGAUUUCCUUAGUAGCGGCGAGCGAAGAGGAAAGAGCCCAAACCAAGUGA